AGAGUUUGAUCCUGGCUCAGAUUGAACGCUGGCGGCAGGCCUAACACAUGCAAGUCGAGCGGAUGAUGGGAGCUUGCUCCCGGAUUCAGCGGCGGACGGGUGAGUAAUGCCUAGGAAUCUGCCUGGUAGUGGGGGACAACGUUUCGAAAGGAACGCUAAUACCGCAUACGUCCUACGGGAGAAAGCAGGGGACCUUCGGGCCUUGCGCUAUCAGAUGAGCCUAGGUCGGAUUAGCUAGUUGGUGGGGUAAAGGCCUACCAAGGCGACGAUCCGUAACUGGUCUGAGAGGAUGAUCAGUCACACUGGAACUGAGACACGGUCCAUACUCCUACGGGAGGCAGCAGUGGGGAAUAUUGGACAAUGGGCGAAAGCCUGAUCCAGCCAUGCCGCGUGUGUGAAGAAGGUCUUCGGAUUGUAAAGCACUUUAAGUUGGGAGGAAGGGCANUAAGUUAAUACCUUGCUGUUUUGACGUUACCACAGAAUAAGCACCGGGCUACUUCGUGCCAGCAGCCGCGGGUAU
rnacentral:rRNA from 1 species